rnacentral:lncRNA from 1 species
UGAGCUUACAGCCUCUCCCGACAUGGCCACGUGAUGAUUUGGUCAUGCCUUCUGAUGAAUGGCUAUCUGCUUAUGUGCCUAGAUCCACCAGAGUUGUCACAGUUACAGGCCAGUUACUAGGAGGCCUCUUCUGAAUGUGACAUGGGAGGAGGGUCUCCCCUUUUCUCUUGGGGAGACACUGAGGUGAAAUAGGCCUGCACCAGCCAAUACAGAGGCAGCAAGUAGAGUCCUGAAGACACUCACUUGGCUGCAAAAGAGACCAGGGGUUUCCUCCAGCUGCCUGGUUGGCUGCUGCUCUGAGAAGAUACCAGGCCUCUGCUCCGGUGGCUUCAGGGAGGCCACCCUGGACACAGCCAGCAGAAGCAGGUCAUCGAUGGAGGGGUCAGCCUACAAGGACACAGCCAAGUUCAUGUUCUUUGGGAGGUGGCAGCCAAGGACUUGGUGCACUGCAAGGAGGUCAGGGAAACAGAGACAGAGAAGCUGCUUCUCCAAACUUCAGUGACCACACCUGUGUUCCUGCAGCUGAGUGUCUCUCAGAAUGGGUGUCUCUUAGGGACACACUGCUGUAGCUCAACACAGGAGCAUUGCCAACACUUUGAGCUGGAGAAUAACACAAACCACAGAUGAGCCUCUUGGAAUGACCACUGUGGGGACCUGAAGGUGUGUACUGGAGGCUGGACAAGCGUUGAGGGGCUCCCCUGGCGAGCAUCUGUGACAGGUUUGAUGAGGCCUGUUCCCAGCAGUGGCAGUGAGACUGGCAUGUCUGGAUGACCUCUACCCAGAGGCCCAGCUUUAUUGCAGGCUGGCUCUGAAUCCUUUCAUCUCUGGCCGCAGCCGGACAAAGUGCCAGAGCUGAGCAGCUGCCUCAGUUCUCCAGCCCCUGUGCUCUGAGAGGCCACACAGGGGACAGAGAUCAGAGGAGCCGACACCAAAGUGAUGCAACUGCCCUCCCAGGAAUGCUGUUCUCAACAGAGGAAAAAGAGUGGUGAAAUGGGAGCCAUGGGCCCUGUCGGGGCAGGACAGGCUUCUAGACCUCAUCCUCGUGUUUAACUCCUUUAUUUGACGUAUGGGGAAACUGAGGCCCAAGAAGGGAAGGGAGUUGCCUAAAUUCACACAGCUGGACACAUUUUUCAAAUAACUCCACUUAUCUUACAGUAGUUUUGCAUUAUUUUUCUCAUUGUUAAUUUUAAUCAUUUUUUUUUCAAAUACUUAUGACUUCACGUCCAGGACCCUCCAAUUAAUAUUGUU